CCUACGGGAUGCAGCAGUGGGGAAUAUUGGACAAUGGGGGAAACCCUGAUCCAGCGACGCCGCGUGAGUGAAGAAGUAUUUCGGUCCGUACAGCUCUAUCAGCAGGAAAUACAAUGCUGGUACCUGACUAAUAAGCCCCGGCUAACUACGUGCCAGCAGCCGCGGUAAUACGUAGGGGGCAAGCGUUAUCCGGAUUUACUGGGUGUAAAGGGAGCGCAGACGGCUGUGCAAGUCUGGAGUGAAAGGCGGGGGCCCAACCCCCGGACUGCUCUGGAAACUGUAAAGCUGGAGUGCAGGAGAGGUAAGCGGAAUUCCUAGUGUAGCGGUGAAAUGCGUAGAGAUUAGGAGGAACACCAGUGGCGAAGGCGGCUUACUGGACUGCAACUGACGUUGAGGCUCGAAAGCGUGGGGAGCAAACAGGAUUAGAUACCCUAGUAGUC
rnacentral:rRNA from 1 species